AUGUACUCCAAGAAGCGACCGCGGAGGCGUUGGCCAUGCUUGCCUUUCUCACCGCCGGCCACCAGCGUGCCUAGCUGGGACACCGGCUGCGGCAGUAGGAAGGCCACCGUGAGCGUUGUGGAGCACUACGACAGCGUAGUGGCCACCUACGUCGGCGACGCCCUGCUUGGGCACGCCUCCGCGCACCCCAAGGUGCGAUACCUCCACAGGCCGGAGGAUCUCUCCGAGGACUACCUCGUCGCUCUUGCCAACGGGAAGGGUUAA
rnacentral:rRNA from 1 species